rnacentral:snRNA from 1 species
GUGCUUUGCUUCAGCAGCACAUACACUAAAAUUGGAAUGAUAUGGAGAAGAAUUAGUACAAGGAUGACCUACAAAUUUGUGUAUGUGUACAUAUAUAU